GAAUAAGCACUGAAGAAUCUAAUGGAU
rnacentral:piRNA from 1 species